AACGAACGCUGGCGGCAGGCUUAACACAUGCAAGUCGAGCGCCCCGCAAGGGGAGCGGCAGACGGGUGAGUAACGCGUGGGAAUCUACCCAUCUCUACGGAAUAACCCAGGGAAACUUGGACUAAUACCGUAUACGCCCUUCGGGGGCAAGAUUUAUCGGAGAUGGAUGAGCCCGCGUUGGAUUAGCUAGUUGGUGGGGUAAUGGCCCACCAAGGCGACGAUCCAGAGCUGGUCUGAGAGGAUGAUCAGCCACACUGGGCCUGAGACACGGCCCAGACUCCUACGGGAGGCAGCAGUGGGGAAUAUUGGACAAUGGGCGAAAGCCUGAUCCAGCCAUGCCGCGUGAGUGAUGAAGGCCCUAGGGUUGUAAAGCUCUUUCACCGGUGAAGAUAAUGACGGUAACCGGAGAAGAAGCCCCGGCUAACUUCGUGCCAGCCGCCGCAGUAACAC
rnacentral:rRNA from 1 species